rnacentral:rRNA from 1 species
GUCGCACCUACCGAUUGAACGGUCCGGUGAGGACUCGGGAUUGUGGUUUGGCUUCUUCAUUGGGGCCUGACCGCGAGAACUUGUCCGAACCUUACCAUUUAGAGGAAGGUG